AGUGAACGCUGGCGGUAGGCCUAACACAUGCAAGUCGAACGGCAGCACAGUAAGAGCUUGCUCUUACGGGUGGCGAGUGGCGGAUGGGUGAGGAAUACAUCGGAAUCUACUUUUUCGUGGGGGAUAACGUAGGGAAACUUACGCUAAUACCGCAUACGACCUACGGGUGAAAGCAGGGGAUCUUCGGACCUUGCGCGAUUGAAUGAGCCGAUGUCGGAUUAGCUAGUUGGCGGGGUAAAGGCCCACCAAGGCGACGAUCCGUAGCUGGUCUGAGAGGAUGAUCAGCCACACUGGAACUGAGACACGGUCCAGACUCCUACGGGAGGCAGCAGUGGGGAAUAUUGGACAAUGGGCGCAAGCCUGAUCCAGCCAUACCGCGUGGGUGAAGAAGGCCUUCGGGUUGUAAAGCCCUUUUGUUGGGAAAGAAAAGCAGCAGGUUAAUACCCCGCUGUUCUGACGGUACCCAAAGAAUAAGCACCGGCUAACUUCGUG
rnacentral:rRNA from 1 species